rnacentral:rRNA from 1 species
UGAGCAAUCUACCCCUCUCAUCGGAAUAAGCGUUGGAAACGACGUCUAAUGCCGAAUACGACCUCCUUUCACAUGAUCGGAGGUGGAAAGCUCCGGCGGAGAAGGAUGAGCUCGCGGCCUAUCAGCUAGUUGGUGUGGGUAACGCCCACCAAGGCGACGACGGGUAGCCGGCCUGAGAGGGUGACCGGCCACACGUGGGACUGAGACACGGCCCAGACUCCUACGGGAGCAGCAGG